GGCGUAGGGGGCCAGCGUUGUUCGGAAUUACUGGGUGUAAAGGGUUCGUAGGCGGUGUGGCAAGUCGGGAGUGAAAUCUCUGGGCUCAACUCAGAGACUGCUUCCGAAACUGCUGUGCUGGAGUGUGGGAGAGGCGCGUGGAAUUGCAGGUGUAGCGGUGAAAUGCGUAGAUAUCAGGAGGAACACCGGUGGCGAAGGCGGGACUCUGGGCCGAUACUGACGCUGAGGAGCGAAAGCGUGGGGAGCAAACAGG
rnacentral:rRNA from 1 species